CCUACGGGAGGCAGCAGUGGGGAAUAUUGGGCAAUGGAGGAAACUCUGACCCAGCGACGCCGCGUGCGGGAUGAAGGCCUUCGGGUUGUAAACCGCUUUCAGCAGGGAAGAAGCGAAAGUGACGGUACCUGCAGAAGAAGCACCGGCUAACUAUGUGCCAGCAGCCGCGGUAAUACAUAGGGUGCAAGCGUUGUCCGGAAUUAUUGGGCGUAAAGAGCUCGUAGGUGGUUCGUCACGUCGGAUGUGAAAAUCUGGGGCUUAACCCCAGACCUGCAUUCGAUACGGGCGAGCUUGAGUAUGGUAGGGGAGUCUGGAAUUCCUGGUGUAGCGGUGGAAUGCGCAGAUAUCAGGAGGAACACCAAUGGCGAAGGCAGGACUCUGGGCCAUUACUGACACUGAGGAGCGAAAGCGUGGGGAGCGAACAGGAUUAGAUACCCUGGUAGUCCACGCCGUAAACGGUGGGCACUAGUUGUGGGGACCUUCCACGGUCUCUGCGACGCAGCUAACGCAUUAAGUGCCCCGCCUGGGGAUACGAUCGCAGNUAAACUCAAAGGAUUGACG
rnacentral:rRNA from 1 species